GGUAAUGUCAACACGCUUGAGUUUUGCUCACUAAGUUUUUGCGACUCUUUCCGUGAAAGAAGUGUUGAAAAUGACUUAUUGUGGCCGCGACUGGCUCCGAGGGGCAAGAACAGCUCCAGAUCUGAAGCAUCUGUUUAACAGUGAACUUCUGGAUGAGUUUGACUCUAUCCGCCUUUGGCUCCAUCUGAUCCGGACUGCCAUCCUCCGCGAAAAUGAGGUGACUGAGAACAAGAGAGGCAAGCGAAAUCUGUGGAUGUUACAGAG
rnacentral:lncRNA from 1 species